GAGUUUGAUCAUGGCUCAGAUUGAACGCUGGCGGCAGGCCUAACACAUGCAAGUCGAGCGGAUGACGGGAGCUUGCUCCUUGAUUCAGCGGCGGACGGGUGAGUAAUGCCUGGGAAUCUGCCUGGUAGUGGGGGACAACGUUUCGAAAGGAACGCUAAUACCGCAUACGUCCUACGGGAGAAAGCAGGGGACCUUCGGGCCUUGCGCUAUCAGAUGAGCCUAGGUCGGAUUAGCUAGUUGGUGGGGUAAUGGCUCACCAAGGCGACGAUCCGUAACUGGUCUGAGAGGAUGAUCAGUCACACUGGAACUGAGACACGGUCCAGACUCUACGGGAGGCAGCAGUGGGGAAUAUUGGACAAUGGGCGAAAGCCUGAUCCAGCCAUGCCGCGUGUGUGAAGAAGGUCUUCGGAUUGUAAAGGCACUUUAAGUUGGGAGGAAGGGCAGUAGUUAAUACCUUGCUGUUUGACG
rnacentral:rRNA from 1 species